rnacentral:tRNA from 2 species
GGGCUGUAGCUCAGUUGGGAGAGCGCCUGCCUUGCAAGCAGGAGGUCAUCGGUUCGAUCCCGUUCAGCUCCACCA